rnacentral:rRNA from 1 species
UACGAAGGGGGCUAGCGUUGCUCGGAAUCACUGGGCGUAAAGGGUGCGUAGGCGGGUCUUUAAGUCCGGGGUGAAAUCCUGGAGCUCAACUCCAGAACUGCCUUUGAUACUGAAGAUCUUGAGUUCGGGAGAGGUGAGUGGAACUGCGAGUGUAGAGGUGAAAUUCGUAGAUAUUCGCAAGAACACCAGUGGCGAAGGCGGCUCACUGGCCCGAUACUGACGCUGAGGAGCGAAAGCGUGGGGAGCGAACAGG